rnacentral:rRNA from 1 species
GACGAACGCUGGCGGCGUGCUUAACACAUGCAAGUCGAACGGAAAGGCCCUGCUUUUGUGGGGUGCUCGAGUGGCGAACGGGUGAGUAACACGUGAGUAACCUGCCCUUGUCUUUGGGAUAACUUCAGGAAACUGGGGCUAAUACCGGAUAGGAGCUCCUGCUGCAUGGUGGGGGUUGGAAAGUUUCGGCUGUUGGGGAUGAACUCGCGGCUUAUCAGCUUGUUGGUGGGGUAGUGGCUUACCAAGGCUUUGACGGAUAGCCGGCCUGAGAGGCGGACCAGGCACAUGGGGACUGAGAUACGGCCCAGACUCGUACGGGAGGCAGCAGUGGGAAAUAUUGCACAAUGGGCGGAAGCCAGAUGCAGCAACGCCGCGUGCGGGAUGACGGCCUUCGGGUUGUAAACCGCUUUCGCCUGUGACGAAGCGUGAGUGACGGUAAUGGGUAAAGAAGCAACGGCUAACUACGUG